rnacentral:rRNA from 1 species
AAAACUUUACAAUGCGGGAAACCGUGAUAAGGGAACUCCGAGUGCCCGUAAAAUCGGGCUGUCCAUCUGUUUAAAUAACAGGUGAAGAAAGGGCCGGGCAAGACCGGUGCCAGCCGCCGCGGUAAUACCGGCGGCUCGAGUGGUGGCCACUAUUACUGGGCUUAAAGCGUUCGUAGCUGGUUUGUUAAGUCUCUGGGGAAAUCUGCCGGCUCAACCGGCAGGCGUUCCAGGGAUACUGGCAGACUAGGGACCGGGAGAGGUGAGGGGUACUCCAGGGGUAGGAGUGAAAUCCUGUAAUCCUUGGGGGACCACCUGUGGCGAAGGCGCCUCACCAGAACGGCUCCGACAGUGAGGGACGAAAGCUGGGGGAGCAAACCGGAUUAGA